UUAAGGUUUAGUUGUUGUUGUUGUAUCUGAAUGACACCUUUCUAGUAGCAUGAAUCUAAUUUCCAUUUUCAAGCUGUCCAACCAAAGAAUUCAAAUAUGAAAGCUCUCAUUUCAGAUACAUGCUUAUCCAUACACAACCUUAAACAGAUUGGCUACCUACACUAUUGGCUUUUGCAGUAGGGCAUAUUAAGAAUGCUUAAUACUCCAGGCUAAUAGUGAGGUAAUAUUUUAUUGUUGCUACCAUAGAUAUCCUGUUAUAAGAA
rnacentral:misc_RNA from 1 species